rnacentral:rRNA from 1 species
CGGGAUGAGCUCAAAUUUAAAAUCUGGCUGGUUUAAUAGUCCGAAUUGUAGUUUAAAGAAGCGUUUUCGGUGGCAGCCUGGGUAUAAAUCCUUUGGAAUAGGGUAUCAUAGAGGGUGAGAAUCCCGU